rnacentral:rRNA from 1 species
UACGUAGGGUGCAAGCGUUGUCCGGAAUCAUUGGGCGUAAAGCGCGCGUAGGUGGCUUCGUAAGUCCGUUGUGAAAGUCAAAGGCUCAACCUUUGAAUGCCGAUGGAUACUGCGAAGCUAGAGUACGGAAGAGGCGAGUGGAAUCCUGGUGUAGCGGUGGAAUGCGCAGAUAUCAGGAGGAACACCAAUAGCGAAGGCAGCUCGCUGGGACGUUACUGACACUGAGACGCGAAAGCGUGGGGAGCAAACAGG